UUGUUGGAGAGUUUGAUCCUGGCUCAGGACGAACGCUGGCGGCGUGCUUAACACAUGCAAGUCGAACGCUGAAGCCGCUUUCGGGUGGUGGAUGAGUGGCGAACGGGUGAGUAACACGUGGGUAACCUGUCCUGUACUUUGGGAUAAGCCCUGGAAACGGGGUCUAAUACUGGAUACGCAUCACUGUCCGCAUGGGUGGUGGUGGAAAGUUCCGGCGGUAUGGGGUGGGCCCGCGGCCUAUCAGCU
rnacentral:rRNA from 1 species